CACUCUUGGAUGGACCUGCGGUGCAUUAGCUAGUUGGUAAGGUAACGGCUUACCAAGGCAAUGAUGCAUAGCCGAGUUGAGAGACUGAUCGGCCACAUUGGGACUGAGACACGGCCCAAACUCCUACGGGAGGCAGCAGUAGGGAAUCUUCCACAAUGGACGAAAGUCUGAUGGAGCAACGCCGCGUGAGUGAAGAAGGGUUUCGGCUCGUAAAGCUCUGUUGGUAGUGAAGAAAGAUAGAGGUAGUAACUGGCCUUUAUUUGACGGUAAUUACUUAGAAAGUCACGGCUAACUACGUGCCAGCAGCCGCGGUAAUACGUAGGUGGCAAGCGUUGUCCGGAUUUAUUGGGCGUAAAGCGAGUGCAGGCGGUUCAAUAAGUCUGAUGUGAAAGCCUUCGGCUCAACCGGAGAAUUGCAUCAGAAACUGUUGAACUUGAGUGCAGAAGAGGAGAGUGGAACUCCAUGUGUAGCGGUGGAAUGCGUAGAUAUAUGGAAGAACACCAGUGGCGAAGGCGGCUCUCUGGUCUGCAACUGACGCUGAGGCUCGAAAGCAUGGGUAGCGAACAGGAUUAGAUACCCUGGUAGUCCAUGCCGUAAACGAUGAGUGCUAAGUGUUGGGAGGUUUCCGCCUCUCAGUGCU
rnacentral:rRNA from 1 species